AUAUAUAUAUAUAUAUAUAUAAACAUGUGAUAUUUAUAUAUGUAUGUUUUCACACUAGAUAUGUUUUUUUUCUUUUCAGUACAGUUUGAAAACCACCAGGUUUCAAAGCAAACAAAAAUAUUUGAGAGUACACCAAAGGAACAGAUAGAAACAUCUGUGGGAUAGGUUUAUAAUGCUG